GAGAGGUGGCGGAGCGGUCGAUCGCGGCGGUCUUGAAAACCGUUGACCCGAAAGGGUCCGGGGGUUCGAAUCCCUCCCUCUCC
rnacentral:tRNA from 1 species